rnacentral:rRNA from 1 species
AAAGUUGAAAAGCACUUUGAAAAGAGAGUGCAAGAGAACGUGAAAUCGAUACAAUGGAAGCGGAUGAAGUCGCCGUAUCUAGCGCGUAUUCAGUUGUUGUUGGUGCCGAUGGCUGUUCGUUUAUUCCGCAAGGUUGAACGGAUGGUUUUGUUGGUGUUGGCGAUGAUGCAUUUGCGUGCAGAGUGCAACGGGUCGUUGAGGAACGUGGAGCGGAGUGUGACUUAGAGGACCAGUUUCGGCUGGAAACCUGGGUUGUGCCGAGUGCCAUUGGUCUUCUUCGGGUAGCUUGAUUCAUGGCUUACGACUCUGCUGUUAGUGUUCUAUUGGGCUUGGGUUCAACGCAUGCGUUGGGCUCUUGUCUGGUGGUAUAUUGGCGGUUUGAGUCACUUGGAUCAUCUCGUUGUGUUGGCGAUCACUUAUCCGACCCGUCUUGAAACACGGACCAAGGAGUUUAUAUUACACGCAAUUUAUUGGGUGUCAAAACCCAAAAGAGUAAUGAAAGUGAAUAACUGUCUUCGGACAGCAACGUGAUUGCCGGCUCAUUCGUGGGCUGGUAGGCAACGUUGCCCCAUUCCAGGAACAUGUUCCGGGGUGGAGGUUGAGCGUGUGAAAUGAGACCCGAAAGAUGGUGAACUAUGCCUGAACAGGAUGAAGCCAGAGGAAACUCUGGUGGAAGUCCGAAGCGGUUCUGACGUGCAAAUCGAUCGUCUGAUU